rnacentral:rRNA from 1 species
GCGGUGGAGUAUGUGGUUUAAUUCGACGCAACGCGCAGAACCUUACCUAGACUUGACAUCCCGGGGAUUUUCUGGAAACAGAGAAGUGCUUUAGCAAUAAAGAACCCGGUGACAGGUGCUGCAUGGCUGUCGUCAGCUCGUGUCGUGAGAUGUUGGGUUAAGUCCCGCAACGAGCGCAACCCUCGCCUUUAGUUGCCAGCAUUCAGUUGGGCACUCUAGAGGGACUGCCGGUGUCAAACCGGAGGAAGGUGGGGAUGACGUCAAAUCAUCAUGCCCCUUAUGGCCUGGGCUACAAACGUAAUACAAUGGCGUAUACAAAGGGAUGCGAAAGGGUGACCUGGAGCAAAACUCACAAAGUACGUCUCAGUUCAGAUUGGAGUCUGCAACUCGACUCCAUGAAGGCGGAAUCGCUAGUAAUCGCGGAUCAGCAUGCCGCGGUGAAUACGUUCUCGGGGUUU